UAGAGUCUGGCUAGCCAAAUUUUGUUGACAGAUAUUUCCUUGUUGCAUCACCAAUUGUCUAUGCUUUAAAAAAAAGUUAAAAUCUGUUGUUAAUUUAUGUCAUUCAUUGAAAUUGUUCGCGGUUUAUAAGGGGUUUAUUUUAAAUAAUAUUAAUAAUGACUAUACCGAGUGAGGUCCGCAAACUAUUAUUUAAGCUCGUAAAUAAUUACGACAAUGUGCGAAGUCGACGUGAAGCUUUUUAUAUAACGAAAAACUGCAAUGUUUACAAGUCGGAAACAAUUUAGUAGGUUGGUGCUCUAUUAAUAUUUUGAUACUAUAUGUACUAG